CUCCAGACUCCUACGGGAGGCAGCAGUGGGGAAUAUUGCACAAUGGGGGGAACCCUGAUGCAGCGACGCCGCGUGGGUGAAGGAGUAUUUCGGUAUGUAAAGCCCUAUCAGCAGGGAAGAACAAUGACGGUACCUGACUAAGAAGCACCGGCUAAAUACGUGCCAGCAGCCGCGGUAAUACGUAUGGUGCAAGCGUUAUCCGGAUUUACUGGGUGUAAAGGGAGCGCAGGCGGCGCGCCAAGUCUGAUGUGAAACCCCGGGGCUCAACCCCGGGCAUGCAUUGGAAACUGGCGGGCUGGAGUGCCGGAGAGGUAAGCGGAAUUCCUAGUGUAGCGGUGAAAUGCGUAGAUAUUAGGAGGAACACCAGUGGCGAAGGCGGCCUGCUGGACGACAACUGACGGUGAGGCGCGAAAGCGUGGGGAGCAAACAGGAUUAGAUACCCUUGUAA
rnacentral:rRNA from 1 species